GGGCCCGAGUUGUAAUUUGUAGAGGAUGCUUUUGGUGAGGUGCCUUCCGAGUUUCCUGGAACGGGACGCCAUAGAGGGUGAGAGCCCCGUCUGGUUGGACGCCGAACCUCUGUAAAGCUCCUUCGACGAGUCGAGUAGUUUGGGAAUGCUGCUCUAAAUGGGAGGUAUAUGUCUUCUAAAGCUAAAUACCGGCCAGAGACCGAUAGCGCACAAGUAGAGUGAUCGAAAGAUGAAAAGAACUUUGAAAAGAGAGUUAAACAGUACGUGAAAUUGUUGAAAGGGAAGCGCUUGUGACCAGACUUGGGCUUGGUUGAUCAUCCGGGGUUCUCCCCGGUGCACUCUUCCGGCCCAGGCCAGCAUCAGUUCGCCCUGGGGGACAAAGGCUUCGGGAACGUGGCUCUCUCCGGGGAGUGUUAUAGCCCGUUGCGUAAUACCCUGUGGCGGACUGAGGUUCGCGCAUUCGCAAGGAUGCUGGCGUAAUGGUCAUCAGUGACCCGUCUUGAAACACGGACCAAGGAGUCGUCUUCGUAUGCGAGUGUUCGGGUGUCAAACCCCUACGCGAAAUGAAAGUGAACGCAGGUGAGAGCUUCGGCGCAUCAUCGACCGAUCCUGAUGUUAUCGGAUGGAUUUGAGUAAGAGCAUACGGGGCCGGACCCGAAAGAAGGUGAACUAUGCCUGUGUAGGGUGAAGCCAGAGGAAACUCUGGUGGAGGCUCGCAGCGGUUCUGACGUGCAAAUCGAUCGUCAAACAUGGGCAUGGGGGCGAAAGACUAAUCGAACCUUCUAGUAGCUGGUUUCCGCCGAAGUUUCCCUCAGGAUAGCAGUGUUGAACUCAGUUUUAUGAGGUAAAGCGAAUGAUUAGGGACUCGGGGGCGCUAUUUAGCCUUCAUCCAUUCUCAAACUUUAAAUAUGUAAGAAGCCCUUGUUGCUUAAUGAAC
rnacentral:rRNA from 1 species